rnacentral:rRNA from 1 species
UACGGGGGGGGCAAGCGUUGUUCGGAAUUACUGGGCGUAAAGGGCUCGUAGGUGGCCAACUAAGUCAGACGUGAAAUCCCUCGGCUUAACCGGGGAACUGCGUCUGAUACUGGAUGGCUGGAGAUUGGGAGAGGGAUGCGGAAUUCCAGGUGUAGCGGUGAAAUGCGUAGAUAUCUGGAGGAACACCGGUGGCGAAGGCGGCAUCCUGGACCGGUAUUGACGCUGAGGCGCGAAAGCCAGGGGAGCAAACGGG